rnacentral:rRNA from 1 species
GGACUACCCGGGUAUCUAAUCCGUUUUGCUCCCCACGCUUUCAUGCCUCAAUGUCAGUAACAGAAUAGUUAACUGCCUUCGCUAUAUUGAUGUUCUUUCAUAUAUCUACGCAUUUUACCGCUCCACAUAAAGUUCCGUUAACCUCUCCUGUACUCAAGUUCGACAGUAUUACUAACUUCCACGAGGUUGAGCCUCGAUUUCCCACCAGUAACUUAUCGAACCAUCUACGCAUCCUUUACGCCCAAUAAUUCCGGAUAAUGUUCGUCACCUAUGUCUUACCGCGGCUGCUGGCAC